UGGAAAUGAAAUGUUGAGUUAUGGUUAUGACCACUGUUGUUAAAAAUUAAAAGCUCAAGGGUGGCCAACUGCCAAGGACUUUUGGGGCCUGGGUAUAGUGUGCAGCAUGAACAAGUGCAUACUUAUCAAAAGAAUAAGAAAGAAACUAUUUCUUGUGCUUUAGUAAAAUGCGCCUCCUCACUUUACACCUUCCUCUUGCUCCUUCACAUUGUGUGAUUUAAGCAGGCCUGGCUGUGCUUUUAAUAACAUUGG
rnacentral:misc_RNA from 1 species